UACGUAGGGUGCGAGCGUUGUCCGGAAUUACUGGGCGUAAUAGAGCUGUAGGUGGUUUGUCGCGUUGUUCGUGAAAACCGGGGGCUUAACCCUCGGCGUGCGGGCGAUACGGGCAGACUGGAGUACUGCAGGGGAGACUGGAAUUCCUGGUGUAGCGGUGGAAUGCGCAGAUAUCAGGAGGAACACCGGUGGCGAAGGCGGGUCUCUGGGCAGUAACUGACGCUGAGGAGCGAAAGCGUGGGGAGCGAACAGG
rnacentral:rRNA from 1 species